rnacentral:rRNA from 1 species
GACGAACGCUGGCGGCGUGCUUAACACAUGCAAGUCGAACGGAGCACCCUUGACUGAGGUUUCGGCCAAAUGAUAGGAAUGCUUAGUGGCGGACUGGUGAGUAACGCGUGAGGAACCUGCCUUUCAGAGGGGGACAACAGUUGGAACCGACUGCUAAUACCGCAUGACGCAUUUUGAUCGCAUGGUCGAAAUGCCAAAGAUUUCUCGCUGAAAGAUGGCCUCGCGUCUGAUUAGCUAGUUGGUGAGGUAACGGCCCACCAAGGCGACGAUCAGUAGCCGGACUGAGAGGUUGACCGGCCACAUUGGGACUGAGAUACGGCCCAGACUCCUACGGGAGGCAGCAGUGGGGAAUAUUGGGCAAUGGGCGCAAGCCUAACCCAGCAACGCCGCGUGAAGGAAGAAGGCUUUCGGGUUGUAAACUUCUUUUAAGUGGGAAGAGCAGAAGACGGUACCACUUGAAUAAGCCACGGCUAACUACGUGCCAGCAGCCGCGGUAA